ensembl:snRNA U1 U1 spliceosomal RNA
AUACUUACCUUGUUGGGAGAUACCAUUAUCACGAAGGUGGUUUUCUCAGGACAUAUCUUGUUCAUUGCACUCCUGAUGUGCUGACUCAUGCAAUUUCCCCAAAUGUGGGAAAUUCAGCUGCAUAAUUUGUAGUAAUGGAUUUGACUGAUCACUUCAUUUGU